GAGGAAUAUUGGGCAAUGCCCGCAAGGGUGACCCAGCAACGCCGCGUGGAGGAUGAAUGUCGUAAGAUUGUAAACUCCUGUUAGAGGGGAAGAAUAGUACCGGUUGGACCGGUAUAUGACUGUACCCUCAGAGAAAGCCCCGGCUAACUACGUGCUAGCAGCCGCGGUAAUACGUAGGGGGCAAGCGUUGUCCGGAUUUACUGGGUGUAAAGGGCGCGCAGGCGGGAUAAAAAGUCAGUGGUGAAAUCCUACAGCUUAACUGUAGAACUGCCUUUGAUACUUUUAUUCUUGAGUUCGGGAGAGAGAGACGGAAUUCCAGGUGUAGUGGUGAAAUACGUAGAUAUCUGGAAGAACACCAGUUGCGAAGGCGGUCUCUUGGUCCGACACUGACGCUGAGGCGCGAAAGCGUGGGGAGCAAACA
rnacentral:rRNA from 1 species